UACGUAGGGGGCAAGCGUUGUCCGGAUUCAUUGGGCGUAAAGAGCUCGUAGGCGGCUGUUCAAGUCGAACGUGAAAACUCGGAGCUCAACUCCGAGCCUGCGUUCGAUACUGGACGGCUAGAGUCUGGUAGGGGGAUCUGGAAUUCCUGGUGUGAGCGGUGAAAUGCGUAGAUAUCAGGAGGAACACCUGUGGCGAAAGCGGCUCACUGGACCACAACUGACGCUGAGGCGCGAAAGCUAGGGGAGCAAACAGG
rnacentral:rRNA from 1 species